rnacentral:sRNA from 1 species
GUCACGGACCCUACACCUCAAUGCGUAGGGCUUGGGUUGGCGGGCCUGAGGGAAACCCGUACACUAGGCUCAGGGCAACAAGACAAGCCGUAGCGGCCCUCAGUUAGCCCUACGCCUGGCGGGCUACUAAGGGAGGCCGGAUGUUCCCCUAGUCCGGUUUCUUCCGGCAGAACUGCUCAAUGCCGCGCACGGCCAGAACCGUGCUAAGCCCGCCUGGCAUUGCCGAAGGGGAAUUUCACCCGGGCAUUGACCCGG